rnacentral:rRNA from 1 species
GAUGAACGCUGGCGGCGUGCCUAAUACAUGCAAGUCGAGCGAACAGACGAGGAGCUUGCUCCUCUGACGUUAGCGGCGGACGGGUGAGUAACACGUGGAUAACCUACCUAUAAGACUGGGAUAACUUCGGGAAACCGGAGCUAAUACCGGAUAAUAUAUUGAACCGCAUGGUUCAAUAGUGAAAGACGGUUUUGCUGUCACUUAUAGAUGGAUCCGCGCCGCAUUAGCUAGUUGGUAAGGUAACGGCUUACCAAGGCAACGAUGCGUAGCCGACCUGAGAGGGUGAUCGGCCACACUGGAACUGAGACACGGUCCAGACUCCUACGGGAGGCAGCAGUAGGGAAUCUUACGCAAUGGGCGAAAGCCUGACGGAGCAACGCCGCGUGAGUGAUGAAGGUCUUCGGAUCGUAAAACUCUGUUACUAGGGAAGAACAAAUGUGUAAGUAACUAUGCACGUCUUGACGGUACCUAAUCAGAAAGCCACGGCUAACUACGUG